rnacentral:rRNA from 1 species
UGAGGAAUAUUGGUCAAUGGACGCAAGUCUGAACCAGCCAUGCCGCGUGCAGGAUGAAUGCCCUCUGGGUUGUAAACUGCUUUUAUCAGGGAAUAAACCUUUCUACGUGUAGAAAGCUGAAGGUACUUGAUGAAUAAGCACCGGCUAACUCCGUGCCAGCAGCCGCGGUAAUACGGAGGGUGCAAGCGUUAUCCGGAAUCAUUGGGUUUAAAGGGUCCGCAGGCGGAUUUAUAAGUCAGUGGUGAAAUCUCUCGGCUCAACCGAGAAACUGCCAUUGAUACUGUAAGUCUUGAAUUCGGUCGAAGUGGGCGGAAUAUGACAUGUAGCGGUGAAAUGCAUAGAUAUGUCAUAGAACACCGAUAGCGAAGGCAGCUCACUAGGCCUGGAUUGACGCUCAGGGACGAAAGCGUGGGGAGCAAACA